UCUGGUUGCUUGGAGACUGUAUGCAUUUCCACCUCUAUCCAUCUAGCCUUCUAGUCACUCAAAGGCAUGUGUACCAAGCUUUAUAGUUUCCUACAGGAGAAAUACUAAGAAUGACAACUGGUUCCAGACAAUCACAUAAAAAGCCUUUUUAAUUUAUAGUAUUAAUAAACAAUCAGUCUGAGUCGCAGGCCCUGGGAAUUGAGAACUACCUGACACCAGAGUAAUGGGCAACUUCUAGGUCAAAAGGUUGCUUUUAACUAGCAGAAAAUGUGGCUGCGAUACUCUCCAAAAUUCAGAACCUAUGUCCAGAAAUGAAAUGUACCAUAUUGAAGCUGAAUCUUUUAUUGCCAGUUCACUUCCUACCUGUCCUCUGUAUUGCGAAGGGAAGGAAGCCGGAAGCUUGUGUUCCUGUCCAGCUUUGAUUGGCUUUUGGUCCUCUUGAUGGAGCCUUUCAGACGCUUGCUGAAGAAUCCCUGUAAUGGAAAGCAAAAGGUGAUGGGAGAGAAAAAAAUAAAAGAACGCUGCUAUCUUCCUACCUCUCUGUAAAACCUUUGCUAAAGACAUUUAGAUUUUUAUAAUGAAGACUUGAAACAGA